GGGCUGCGGCAGGCUACCAUGCAAGUCGAGCGGAUGAAGGGAGCUUGCUCCUGGAUUCAGCGGCGGACGGGUGAGUAAUGCCUAGGAAUCUGCCUGGUAGUGGGGGAUAACGUCCGGAAACGGGCGCUAAUACCGCAUACGUCCUGAGGGAGAAAGUGGGGGAUCUUCGGACCUCACGCUAUCAGAUGAGCCUAGGUCGGAUUAGCUAGUUGGUGGGGUAAAGGCCUACCAAGGCGACGAUCCGUAACUGGUCUGAGAGGAUGAUCAGUCACACUGGAACUGAGACACGGUCCAGACUCCUACGGGAGGCAGCAGUGGGGAAUAUUGGACAAUGGGCGAAAGCCUGAUCCAGCCAUGCCGCGUGUGUGAAGAAGGUCUUCGGAUUGUAAAGCACUUUAAGUUGGGAGGAAGGGCAGUAAGUUAAUACCUUGCUGUUUUGACGUUACCAACAGAAUAAGCACCGGCUAACUUCGUGCCAGCAGCCGCGGUAAUACGAAGGGUGCAAGCGUUAAUCGGAAUUACUGGGCGUAAAGCGCGCGUAGGUGGUUCAGCAAGUUGGAUGUGAAAUCCCCGGGCUCAACCUGGGAACUGCAUCCAAAACUACUGAGCUAGAGUACGGUAGAGGGUGGUGGAAUUUCCUGUGUAGCGGUGAAAUGCGUAGAUAUAGGAAGGAACACCAGUGGCGAAGGCGACCACCUGGACUGAUACUGACACUGAGGUGCGAAAGCGUGGGGAGCAAACAGGAUUAGAUACCCUGGUAGUCCACGCCGUAAACGAUGUCGACUAGCCGUUGGGAUCCUUGAGAUCUUAGUGGCGCAGCUAACGCGAUAAGUCGACCGCCUGGGGAGUACGGCCGCAAGGUUAAAACUCAAAUGAAUUGACGGGGGCCCGCACAGCGGUGGAACCUGGGGUUUAAUUCGAGGCACGCGAAGACCUUACCUGGCCUUGACUGCUGAGACUUUCAAGAGAUGGAUUGGUGCUUCGGGACUCAGACCAGGUGCUGCUGCUGCCUCACUCCGGCCGGGAAG
rnacentral:rRNA from 1 species